AAGAAGAUGGGAAUUUCAAGCGGGAUAGUUGCAAAGAUAAUAUACAUGGAUGCUAAGGAAGGAAGAAUAUGAGGCCGACAUCAGAACAGGAGGAGUAAAAUGCAUUAAGACGUUGAACAUUUUGUUAAUGCAUCAUGGAUAAAGACAUGAGAUUAUUCUUGAGAAAGCGAACGUUCAAGAUGAGAUUAAUAACAAAUUGAAUGAAGAUAAGUGGGAAAAGAAUGGAUCACAGAGAAAAACGUUGCAGCUCAUGGAGACUGCACGAGGAAUUCAACCAAGAACAACACACUGGCUUUUGUCAGAUCUUAAACAGCAACACCAGUACAAAAUGAAGAAAAAGAAAAACAAUAUCUGAGAAUAAUUCCCUUUUCCAAAA